AGAAUCCCAGGGACGGGGGAGCCUGGUGGGCUGCCAUCUAUGGCGUUGCGCAGAGUCGGACAUGACUGAAGCGACUUAGCAGCAGCAGCAGCAGGUAUUUGCAGAUGGACUGUUCCCUGAGCUUUGCUCUUGCGUGGUCAGCUCCUUCUCAUCCUUCAGGUGUCGGCUGUCAUCUUCUCUGCCAGGCCUUCCUUCACCAUGGAAACUAGGCUGCACCUACUCACGCUGUGUCCCAUUACUUUGUGUUAUCAUCUUCAUAAAACUUAGCAGCAUCUGCAAGCACCUUCACUUAUUUGUCG
ensembl:lncRNA